rnacentral:lncRNA from 1 species
AAAAUGAAUUCAUGAGGAAUUGAAUGGUGCUUGCUAUGUGCCUGACUGAUGAAAAUAAAUCCGCUUGCUUCAAGUAUGCCUAUUCUUCAAGUAUGCCUAUUCUCCCCUCUUUAGAGAACAGAUCAUUUUGAUCUUUCUCUAAACCUUAUUUAAUCCAAAAGACAGAUUCUGGGUAUUUAAAAAAAAAAAAGAAUCUCAUAACCACUGAAGCGCUGGGCUGUCAUGUGUUGUGUGGUGAGAUUUGUCAGCUGAGUGACCUGGUGACUGGCAUGAAGUAUUGUAGGAUGCCCUAGUGUGAUAGUAGUAGCAGUUUCAACAGCCAUUGCACAUGCUAUCAAUGCUCUGAGACACGCCGGCAUACCCUGUACCGGAGCUCGAACUACUUUGGAAAAGAAUGCUAUGGGACGCAUACCGCCUCCUUGCUCUUGUGCACAGACCGCGGCCAUGGUUUUACAAUUGUCCCAAGCAUACAAAUGAAAUGGUUUACAAUACACAGGUAGUCCUAAAGCCUGGGCUUGCACAAUAACAACUGUAAGGGCAAUAUAUGCAGCUAGCAUGUCUGGUGACCAGCAGACAUUUUCAGGGCUGUCAGAACGUACAGCCUCCCUUAGGAUUGAGUCAUAAUGGGAGCAUUCAGGGAUCCAUGGUGGCAGUAAUUAAUCAUGCCGAGGAAGGUGAGCAACUCCUUCCGAAUAGUGGGUGUAGGAAUCCUCUGAAUGACCUCAAUACAUUUUGGACUCAAUUGUCUGGUGCCUAAAGCCAGAACAAAACCUAAGUAUUCAACCUUUGAUUUACACAAUUGCAUUUUGUGUUUAACAACCUUGUGACCUACAGUUGCUGACAGUAUCCACAGUGCUUGCCUCAGAGCUAGGGCUACAUAACAACAAAUCAUCAACAUUUUGCAAAAAGGACGGAACCAUGACCGGUGGUCCAUGUUUUUUUAGAGUAUGUUGGAGUACCAACGAAUAAACAGCUGGGGAAUCCACAUAGCCUUGGGUAAGCGUGUCCAGGUAAACUGACAGCCUUCAAAAAGUAAAAACCAUAAGUAGCUGUGUCUCUUGAUCAAUAGAUAUAGAAAAAAUGCAUUACUUAAAUCAAUGACAGUGAAGCAAGUGGCAUCAUGUGGAAUGGCUGUAAUGAGGGAUGUCACAUCAGGGACAAUGGGUGAAAUGGGCACAAUUAAACUAUUCAGGGCUCUAAAGUCCUGAACUAAGCGAUAUGCUGGCCAGUGGUGUUGGGAGUGGGUCUGGUGUUGUUCUUGCCUACCGGGCAUAUUUUGAGAAUUGUGGGGUUGUUGGGGUGUGUGGGGUUUCCUGGGGUGUGGACACUCAUUCCUCCAGUGGCCACAGUUGAAACAAGUGUUCCUGUCUAUUCCUCCUUGGUUACCCCUGCCCCUAUAACCCUGAUUUCCCUGUCUCCAUCCCCUUGCCCCUCUUUGACCACCCCUUCCGCGGGCUUUAUGUGCUCCAUCCCAUCCUCGCUCUCAGCCUGUGUAGGUGGCAAUCCCUGAGCAUAAUAAGCAACCUUACUUUCCUAAAUCUUUUCUUAAUUCAAAACAACCUGCAUUUUCCUUUCUAUAACCUUGGUAAGAAACUCUGAGCCAGGGGCGGACUGAGAACCCUCAGGGCCCCCGGGCAAAAUAAAUCAAGGGCCCCCUUACAGGCCCCACCCAUACUCUGCAGCAAGCGCCACCCUUGUCCCGCCUCCAGCCACACCGUACACAAUCUUUAGACACAAGGAACAAAAGGGCAAUAAGCCCUUCGAGGCCCCAGUAGAGACUACAAUUGAGGGCUAAUGGGCUAUGGAGGGGGGUCUUUCUAGCGGAGGCUAUCUCAGUGUCCUUUAGAGGGUGUGUUAGAAAGAAUCCCCUCCAAGCCCCAUUAGAGACUACAAUGGAGUCUAAAAGGCUUGGAAGGGGGUCUUUCUAGCAGAGGCCAUCUCAGCGUCCAUUAGAUAUCCCCUGCUGGAAACAGUCGCCUCCAGGCCCCAGUAGAAACUACAAUUGAGGGCUAAUGGGCCAUGGAGGGGAUUUCUAGCAGAGGCUAGGGUCUAAUGGGGCCUGGAGGGUGGUCUCUCCAACACUCUGGUUCCUAUUCACAAUAUAGCAACACAACAUAGCUCGCUGAUACCUAAGCCAAGUUGGCUCCUCUUGCCUUAAUUACUGUUGCUGGCUGGCAGUCUGUGGGCUUGCUGGCUGCGGCUGGCAGGCUGUGGGCUUGCUGGCUACUGCCGGCAGGCUGUGGGCUUGCUGGCUACUGCCGGCAGGCUGUGGGCUUGCUGACUGCGGCUGGCAGGCUGCGGCUGGCAGGCUGUGGCUUGCUGGCUGUGAGCCUGUGGCUUGCUGUAGGCCUGUGGGCUGGCUACUGGCCUGUGGGCUGGCUAACUGGCUGGCUACUGGCCAGCCUGUGGGCUGGCUAACUGGCUGGCUACUGGCCAGCCUGUGGGUUGGCUGGCUGGCUACUGGGGCACUUGUAGAUUAUUUAAAGAAAUAAUCCAUGCACAAUAACCACUACUGCUCCAGAGUAAGUAGUCAAACCGUUUAAGAACAGUUUGACAACUUACCUGGGGUCUGCUGGGAUAUGAGGCUGUAGUAGUUAAUAGGAGCAGUGGUGCAAUGUGUGUGAAAGGUUCAGUGUGUGUGUGGGGGUGUGGUGUGUGAAUGUGUAGGGUGUGUGGGCAGUGUAUGUGUGUGGCAAUGUUAGUAUGGGGGGCUGUGUAUGGGGUCUGUGUGUAUAUGGGUGGGCAGUGUAUGUGUGAGGCAAUGUGUGUAAAUGUGUAUGGUGUGUAUGGGGGCAGUGUGUGAAUGUGUAUGGUGUGUGUGUGGGGGCAGUGUGUUUAUGGGGCUAGAGUUCACUCUCACCACUGCGACCACCAGGAAUCCAUGGGGUUACAGUGUUGAGAGUGAACUCUAGCCCGUAGCUCCAGGGCUAGAGUUGACUCUCGCAAGAGCAGUAACGUUGCCAUGGUAACCGCGGCAACGCUUUGUGCUCGCGCAAGAAGGACCCAGAGGAGCUGCAGGGUGAGCUCCCAGGUCCUCUCUUCCUCCCCUGCCCGCACGGUGCCUGCGGACAGGGGAGGGGGGGCAUUCUUCCCUCUCUUUCUCCCCCAACUCUCUAUUCCUCCUCUUUCUCCCCGUGUCUCAUUCUUCCCUCUUUGUCUCCCCCCUCCCCAUCUCUCUAUUCCCCCUAUGUCUCAUUCUUCCCUCUCUGUCUCUUUCUCCCCCUCCCCAUCUCUCUAUUCCCCCUCUUUCUCCCCGUGUCUCAUUCUUCCCUCUCUGUCUCCCCAUCUCUCUAUUCCCCGUGUCUCAUUCUUCCCUCUGUCUCUUUCUCCCCCUCCCCAUCUCUCUAUUCCCCCUCUUUCUCCCUGUGUCUCAUUCUUCCCUCUCUGUCUCUCCNNNNNNNNNNNNNNNNNNNNNNNNNNNNNNNNNNNNNNNNNNNNNNNNNNNNNNNNNNNNNNNNNNNNNNNNNNNNNNNNNNNNNNNNNNNNNNNNNNNNGUUCACAUGAUCUUACAAAAGACUGUACAUGCUGCCUAAGAUUCCUAAUAUAAAAUGAAUUCAUGAAGAAUUGAAUGGUGCUUGCUAUGUGCCUGACUGAUGAAAAUAAAUCAGCUUGCUUCAAGUAUGCCUAUUCUUCAAGUAUGCCUAUUCUCCCCUCUUUAGAGAACAGAUCAUUUUGAUCUUUCUCUAAACCUUGUUUAAUCCAAAAGACAGAUUCUGGGUAUUUAAAAAAAAAAAAAAAAAAAUCUCAUAACCACUGAAGCGCUGGGCUGUCAUGUGUUGUGUGGUGAGAUUUGUCAUCAGCUGAGUGACCUGGUGACUGGCAUGAAGUAUUGUAGGAUGCCCUAGUGUGAUAGUAGUAGCAGUUUCAACAGCCAUUGCACAUGCUAUCAAUGCUCUGAGACACGCCGGCAUACCCUGUACCGGAGCUUGAACUACUUUGGAAAAGAAUGCUAUGGGACGCAUACCGCCUCCUUGCUCUUGUGCACAGACCACGGCCAUGGUUUUACAAUUGUCCCAAGCAUACAAAUGAAAUGGUUUACAAUACACAGGUAGUCCUAAAGCCUGGGCUUGCACAAUAACAACUGUAAGGGCAAUAUAUGCAGAUAGCAUGUCUGGUGACCAGCAGACAUUUUCAGGGCUGUCAGAACGUACAGCCUCCCUUAGGAUUGAGUCAUAAUGGGAGCAUUCAGGGAUCCAUUGGCGGCAGUAAUUAAUCAUGCCGAGGAAGGUGAGCAACUCCUUCCGAGUAGUGGGUGUUGGAAUCCUCUGAAUGACCUCAAUACAUUUUGGACUCAAUUGUCUGGUGCCUAAAGCCAGAACAAAACCUAAGUAUUCAACCUUUGAUUUACACAAUUGCAUUUUGUGUUUAACAACCUUGUGACCUAUAGUUGCUGACAGUAUCCACAGUGCUUGCCUCAGACCUAGGGCUACAUAACAACAAAUCAUCAACAUUUUGCAAAAAGGACGGAACCAUGACCGGUGGUCCAUGUUUUUUUAGAGUAUGUUGGAGUACCAACGAAUAAACAGCUGGGGAAUCCACAUAGCCUUGGGUAAGCGUGUCCAGGUAAACUGACAGCCUUCAAAAAGUAAAAAACCAUAAGUAGCUGUGUCUCUUGAUCAAUAGGUAUAGAAAAAAAUGCAUUACUUAAAUCAAUGACAGUGAAGCAAGUGGCAUCAUGUGGAAUGGCUAUAAUGAG